rnacentral:sRNA from 1 species
UUACGAAAAAUGAGCGUGCAUUCACUCU